UUAUCACUAUGAUGAUGCAUAGUUCAGUUGACUAUUGCAGAAUGAUAACAAAUCUUAACUAUCUUUGAAAUUGGUCUUUCACCCCUAGCUGAAAAGAUUU